rnacentral:rRNA from 1 species
GACCCCAGGUCAGGCGGGAUUACCCGCUGAAUUUAAGCAUAUCAAUAAGG